UACAGAGGUCUCAAGCGUUGUUCGGAUUCAUUGGGCGUAAAGGGUGCGUAGGCGGCGCGGUAAGUCGGGUGUGAAAUCUCGGAGCUUAACUCCGAAACUGCAUUCGAUACUGCCGUGCUUGAGGACUGGAGAGGAGACUGGAAUUUACGGUGUAGCGGUGAAAUGCGUAGAUAUCUGGAGGAAUACCGGUGGCGAAGGCGGCAUCCUGGACCAUAACUGACGCUGAGGCGCGAAAGCUAGGGGAGCAAACGGG
rnacentral:rRNA from 1 species